rnacentral:rRNA from 1 species
AUACGGAGGGUGCAAGCGUUAAUCGGAAUUACUGGGCGUAAAGCGUACGUAGGCGGUGAGUUAAGUUAGAUGUGAAAGCCCCGGGCUCAACCUGGGAACUGCAUUUAAAACUGGCUCACUAGAGUUGAGUAGAGGGGAGUGGAACUUCAGGUGUAGCGGUGAAAUGCGUAGAGAUCUGAAGGAACACCAGUGGCGAAGGCGACUCCCUGGACUCGAACUGACGCUGAGGUACGAAAGCGUGGGUAGCAAACGGGAUUAGAAACCCUAGUAGUCC